GACGUAGGGCGCGAGCGUUGUUCGGAAUUACUGGGCGUAAAGGGCUCGUAGGCGGCCAACUAAGUCGGACGUGAAAUCCCCAGGCUCAACCUGGGAACUGCGUCCGAUACUGGAUGGCUUGAAUUCGGGAGAGGGAUGCAGAAUUCCAGGUGUAGCGGUGAAAUGCGUAGAUAUCUGGAGGAAUACCGGUGGCGAAGGCGGCAUCCUGGACCGACAUUGACGCUGAUGAGCGAAAGCGUGGGGAGCGAACAGG
rnacentral:rRNA from 1 species